rnacentral:rRNA from 1 species
UACGGAGGGUGCAAGCGUUAAUCGGAAUUACUGGGCGUAAAGCGCACGCAGGUGGCUGAGUCAGUCGAUUGUGAAAGCCCUGGGCUUAACCUGGGAAUUGCAGUCGAUACUACUCAGCUAGAGUAUGGGAGAGGGCAGUGGAAUUCCCGGUGUAGCGGUGGAAUGCGCAGAUAUCAGGAGGAACACCAAUAGCGAAGGCAGCUCGCUGGGACGUUACUGACACUGAGGCGCGAAAGCGUGGGGAGCGAACAGG